CAUAGUCACCUUGAGAAGGCUACUAUAGGUUUCAUGUUACUAUUAAAAGUAGUUGUACGUUAUUUUCACAAUUUGUUUUGUUUUUCAUAACUUUAACCCAUCUUAGCUUAUAUAAACUGUCAUUUUAUUUUUUUAUUUUUUUAAGGUCAUUUUUUUAAAACAACAUAUUAUGAUAUCAAUAAAUUUUAUUUAAGAAUUUUAUAUUUAAAAAAACUCAAAUAUCUUACGUUACAAUUUAAGUCAAUAAAUUUAAUCCUAAUGUUUUUUGCAGUUUUUUGUUUUUAUUAUUUAAAACAUAUAUUUAACUUUUUUUUUUAAAAGUUUAAAAUAAUUAAAUAAUUUUACAAAGGUUGGUUUGGAAUAGUAAACAUAGUCACCUUGAGAAGGCUACUAUAGGUUUCAUGUUACUAUUAAAAGUAGUUGUACGUUAUUUUCAUAAUUUGUUUUGUUUUUCAUAACUUUAACCCAUCUUAGUUUAUAUAAACUGUCAUUUUCUUUAUUUCUAUUUUUAUGGUCAUUUCUUUAAAACAAAAUAUUAAGAUAUCAAUCAAUUAUAUUUUAGAAUUAUAGAUUUUGAAAAACUCAAAUAUCAAUACGUUACAAUUAAAGUCAAUAAAUUUAAUUAUAAUGUUUUUUGCAUUUUCUCUGUUUUUAGUGUUUGAAACAUAUAUUUAACUUUUUUUUAAAAAUGUUUAAAAUAAGUAAAUAAUUCUACAAAGGUUGAUUUGGAAUAGUAAACAUAGUCACCUUGAGAAGGCUAUUAUAGGUUUCAUGUUACUAAUAAAAGUAG
rnacentral:lncRNA from 1 species